rnacentral:rRNA from 1 species
CCUACGGGAGGCAGCAGUGGGGAAUAUUGCACAAUGGGCGAAAGCCUGAUGCAGCGACGCCGCGUGAGGGAUGACGGCCUUCGGGUUGUAAACCUCUUUCAGCAGGGAAGAAGCGAAAGUGACGGUACCUGCAGAAGAAGCGCCGGCUAACUACGUGCCAGCAGCCGCGGUAAUACGUAGGGCGCAAGCGUUGUCCGGAAUUAUUGGGCGUAAAGAGCUCGUAGGCGGCUUGUCACGUCGGGUGUGAAAGCCCGGGGCUUAACCCCGGGUCUGCAUUCGAUACGGGCUAGCUAGAGUGUGGUAGGGGAGAUCGGAAUUCCUGGUGUAGCGGUGAAAUGCGCAGAUAUCAGGAGGAACACCGGUGGCGAAGGCGGAUCUCUGGGCCAUUACUGACGCUGAGGAGCGAAAGCGUGGGGAGCGAACAGGAUUAGAUACCCUGGUAAUCCACGCCGUAAACGGUGGGAACUAGGUGUUGGCGACAUUCCACGUCGUCGGUGCCGCAGCCAACGCAUUAAGUUCCCCGCCUGGGGNGUACGCGCGAGACGAACUACAAGAAGUAGACGCGNGAGACGNGCGACGACGACGACGAGGAGAG